GACGAACGCUGGCGGCGUGCUUAACACAUGCAAGUCGAACGAAGCUUGAUUACGGAUUCUUCGGAUGAAGUAUGAUAUGACUGAGUGGCGGACGGGUGAGUAACGCGUGAGUAACCUGCCCUUCAGAGGGGGAUAGCGUUUGGAAACGAACGGUAAUACCGCAUAAUGUAUUUUGACCGCAUGAUCGACAUACCAAAGAUUUAUCGCUGAAGGAUGGACUCGCGUCUGAUUAGGUAGUUGGUGGGGUAACGGCCUACCAAGCCGACGAUCAGUAGCCGGACUGAGAGGUUGAUCGGCCACAUUGGGACUGAGACACGGCCCAGACUCCUACGGGAGGCAGCAGUGGGGAAUAUUGCACAAUGGGCGCAAGCCGGAUGCAGCAACGCCGCGUGAAGGAAGACGGUUUUCGGAUUGUAAACUUCUGUUCUUAGUGAAGAAUAAUGACGGUAGCUAAGGAGCAAGCCACGGCUAACUACGUG
rnacentral:rRNA from 1 species